rnacentral:rRNA from 1 species
GGAUCCAGACUUUGAUUAUGGCUCAGGAUAAACGCUGGCGGCGCACAUAAGACAUGCAAGUCGAACGAACUUAACCAUUAGUUUACUAUUGGAGCGGUUAGUGGCGGACUGGUGAGUAACACGUAAGCAACCUGCCUAUCAGAGGGGAACAACAGUUAGAAAUGACUGCUAAUACCGCAUAUGCCUUGAGUAUCACAUGGUACAAAAGGGAAAGGAGCAAUCCGCUGAUAGAUGGGCUUGCGUCUGAUUAGAUAGUUGGUGAGGUAACGGCCCACCAAGUCGACGAUCAGUAGCCGGACUGAGAGGUUGAACGGCCACAUUGGGACUGAGAUACGGCCCAGACUCCUACGGGAGGCAGCAGUCGGGAAUAUUGCGCAAUGGAGGAAACUCUGACGCAGUGACGCCGCGUGCAGGAAGAAGGUUUUCGGAUUGUAAACUGCUUUAGACAGGGAAGAAACAAGACAGUACCUGUAGAAUAAGCUCCGGCUAACUACGUGCCAGCAGCCGCGGUAAUACGUAGGGAGCAAGCGUUAUCCGGAUUUAUUGGGUGUAAAGGGUGCGUAGACGGGAAAUUAAGUUAGUUGUGAAAUCCCUCGGCUUAACUGAGGAACUGCAACUAAAACUGAUUUUCUUGAGUGCUGGAGAGGAAAGUGGAAUUCCUAGUGUAGCGGUGAAAUGCGUAGAUAUUAGGAGGAACACCAGUGGCGAAGGCGACUUUCUGGACAGUAACUGACGUUGAGGCACGAAAGUGUGGGGAGCAAACAGGAUUAGAUACCCUGGUAGUCCACACCGUAAACGAUGGAUACUAGGUGUAGGGUGUGAUAAACAUUCUGUGCCGUCGCAAACGCAGUAAGUAUCCCACCUGGGGAGUACGGCCC